GGGGGGGGGGGGGGGGGGGGGGGGGGGGGGCGGGGGGGACGGGAGGGGGCUGGUGGGGUGGGGGGCGCGGGGGGGGGACGGGGGGGUGGCCCGGGGGGAGCCGGGCCUUGACUGUGGGAUAACUUCAGGAAACUGGGGCUACUACCGGAUAUGGACUGCUGCUGGAUGGUGUGGGGUGGCACGUUUCGGCGGUUGGGGAAGGACUCGCGGCUUAUGAGCUUGUUGGUGUGGUAGUGGUGUACCAAGGCUUUGACGGGUAGCCGGCCUGAGAGGGUGACCGGCCACAUUGGGACUGAGAGACGGCCCAGACUCCUACGGGAGGCAGCAGUGGGGAAUAUUGCACAAUGGGCGGAAGCCUGAUGCAGCAACGCCGCGUGCGGGAUGACGGCCUUCGGGUUGUAAACCGCUUUCGCCUGUGACGAAGCGUGAGUGACGGUAAUGGGUAAAGAAGCACCGGCUAACUACGUG
rnacentral:rRNA from 1 species